ensembl:ncRNA C04A11.6 ncRNA
UUUUAAAACAUCUUAGCCGCAUGAGCUAUUGUUUUGAAAACAACCAUACACCUCCCCUAUCCAAAUAUUGCCUUUCCAAUUGGUUAGGAAUGGUGGUCAAAUGAAAUGGAUGCAUGUCUGGUUAAAUAUUCGGAAAAAGGAUGAUGUCCUCCCUCCCAUCCUAGCACAUACACUGCCUCGCACAAAGAGCUAUUUGUUAAGAACC